AGAGUUUGAUCAUGGCUCAGAUUGAACGCUGGCGGCAUGCCUUACACAUGCAAGUCGAACGGCAGCACGGACUUCGGUCGGGUGGCGAGUGGCGAACGGGUGAGUAAUACAUCGGAACGUGUCCUGGAGUGGGGGAUAGCCCGGCGAAAGCCGGAUUAAUACCGCAUACGCUCUGAGGUGGAAAGCGGGGGAUCUUCGGACCUCGCGCUCAAGGGGCGGCCGAUGGCAGAUUAGCUAGUUGGUGGGGUAAAGGCCUACCAAGGCGACGAUCUGUAGCUGGUCUGAGAGGACGACCAGCCACACUGGGACUGAGACACGGCCCAGACUCCUACGGGAGGCAGCAGUGGGGAAUUUUGGACAAUGGGCGCAAGCCUGAUCCAGCAAUGCCGCGUGUGUGAAGAAGGCCUUCGGGUUGUAAAGCACUUUUGUCCGGAAAGAAAACCUCUGCCCUAAUACGGCGGGGGGGAUGACGGUACCGGAAGAAUAAGCACCGGCUAACUACGUGCCAGCAGCCGCGGUAAUACGUAGGGUGCAAGCGUUAAUCGGAAUUACUGGGCGUAAAGCGUGCGCAGGCGGUCCGUUAAGACAGAUGUGAAAUCCCCCGGGCUUAACCUGGGAACUGCAUUUUGUGACUGGCGGACUCGAGUAUGGCAGAGGGGGGUAGAAUUCCACGUGUAGCAGUGAAAUGCGUAGAGAUGUGGAGGAAUACCGAUGGCGAAGGCGACUACCUGGCCUGUUCUUGACGCUGAGGCGCGAAAGCGUGGGGAGCAAACAGGAUUAGAUACCCUAGUAGUCC
rnacentral:rRNA from 1 species